UCCCCGAUUUCCGGGGCAGUCUCCCUAGAGUGCCCACCCAAACGUGCUGGCAACUAGAGGCGGGGGUUGCGCUCGUUGCGGGACUUAACCCAACACCUCACGACACGAGCUGACGACAGCCAUGCACCACCUGUCACGGGCCCUUACGGACACUGUAUUUCUACAGCUUUUCCCGUGAUGUCAAACCCAGGUAAGGUUCUUCGGGUUGCAUCGAAUUAAGCCGCAUGCUCCACCGCUUGUGCGGGCCCCCGUCAAUUCCUUUGAGUUUCAUUCUUGCGAACGUACUCCCCAGGUGGUAUGCUUACUGCGUUAACUGCGUCACUGAACCCGAAAGCCCAACAACUAGCAUACAUCGUUUACAGCGUGGACUAC
rnacentral:misc_RNA from 1 species